CCCGGGACGCGGCUUCAGAAAGAGGAAGCCCGGGAAACCGGUUUCCGCGUUGCAGCUGCUAUCCAGCGCUCCCUGGCCGGUCCCAGAACCGAGACCUGGGCGCUAGGUGCAGCUGCUCUGCGGUGCCCGCUGCUGUGUGGGCGCCUGUACGUCAGUCAGGGCAGGCGGCGCCGGGAGCGGACCGAGGGCUGCCCGGCGGAAGGGCUCUGUCCGCGGCUGCGGGCCUUAAGAACGUGCGGGCCGCCUCCGUUGUGGGCCUCCCGGUGAGCAGCUAUUUGGGGCGCUCGGGAUGUCGCGCUGACCGUGUACGGAACCGUUUAAGUCAGAUGCUGUUGGCGGAGAACCUGCGAGAGCGCAGGCGAGCAGAGCAGUUGCUGUCCCGUUUGCUAUAUUUGCAGCGGACGGAGCAUGAAUGCAGGCCCGGCGGCCGCCCUCCCGGGUCUCCUGCAGGAUCGCUCCAUCUGCGGCGCCCGGCCCCAGGUCCCAGCUGUGACGGGCCCACGUGGCAGUCUCGCAAGGUUCGCUUUCUGCCGUACCAAGCAGGAAUUUCAGCACCCGAAAAUCUCCUACAUGGGCUAGGAAUGUAGCCCACAGCAUCUCUUCUCCCGAAACACAGGAAACAAGUAUACCAGGACUCGGUCAGAGGCUGUUUGAGCAAUCAGUUCACCUCGAGCAUCUCAAAUCUGCCUUCCCCUUUAUCCCAGAAUGGAGCCCCUGCACUUCACCUUCCUCCUGUCUGAGAACGAGGACUUGCCCACCUGGGGCCCAUGGCAAGCUAAUUGAGAGGGCCUUUGCCUGUCUUCUUGAGACGGCAUUUGUACUGUCUUGGGGUCUUAAUCCAAGUUCUAAGCAAGCCUGGUUUAAAUGGAGCUUGGAGACCUGGCUUAGCACCCAGCCUGUGCCGGGA
ensembl:lncRNA